AAAAACGGGAAAUUGCGGUAUGAAUAAUACUGAGGAAAGUCCAGACUGCCACGGCCUGAGAUGGCCGUAACGUUCGUGCCCGCCGCAAGGCGGGGCAGGGCUUGCCCUGACGACGGCAAAAUCGACUCUUGCAGCCGAAAGUAGCCAUAAAGUGCACAGAGAGUGGGUAGACCGGCGACGGUCUGGUGAAAAGCGGUAAACUCCACGAGGCAGAAACCCGAAUUAUGGUAGGGGAACCUCCGCGAGGGAAAGGAACCAGACGGGGGAAUGCUAGUAAUAGCGUUAGAUAAAUAAUUUCCUAAAACAGAAACUGGCUUACGGUU
rnacentral:RNase_P_RNA from 1 species